UACGUAGGGUGCAAGCGUUAAUCGGAAUUACUGGGCGUAAAGCGUGCGCAGGCGGCUUUGCAAGACAGAUGUGAAAUCCCCGGGCUUAACCUGGGAACUGCAUUUGUGACUGCAUGGCUGGAGUGCGGCAGAGGGGGAUGGAAUUCCGCGUGUAGCAGUGAAAUGCGUAGAUAUGCGGAGGAACACCGAUGGCGAAGGCAGUCCCCUGGGCCUGCACUGACGCUGAAACACGAAAGCGUGGGUAGCAAACAGG
rnacentral:rRNA from 1 species